rnacentral:rRNA from 1 species
UACAGAGGGUGCGAGCGUUAAUCGGAAUUACUGGGCGUAAAGCGCGCGUAGGCGGCUUUGCAAGCCGGAUGUGAAAUCCCCGGGCUUAACCUGGGAACUGCAUUCGGGACUGCAUUGCUAGAGUAUGGGAGAGGGAUGCGGAAUUCCAGGUGUAGCGGUGAAAUGCGUAGAUAUCUGGAGGAAUACCGGUGGCGAAGGCGAGGUGCUGGACCCUUUCUGACGCUGAGGCGCGAAAGCCAGGGGAGCGAACGGG